GAUGAAGAACGUAGCGAAAUGCGAUAACUAAUGUGAAUUGCAGAAUUCAGUGAAUCAUCGAGUCUUUGAACGCACAUUGCGCCCCCUGGUAUUCCGGGGGGCAUGCCUGUCCGAGCGUCAUUGCUGCCCUCAAGCACGGCAUGUGUGUUGGGCUCCGUCCCCCCGGGGACGGGCCCGAAAGGCAGCGGCGGCACCGAGUCCGGUCCUCGAGCGUAUGGGGCUUUGUCACCCGCUCUGUAGGCCCGGCCGGCGCCAGCCGACAACCCAUCAUCCUUUUCAGGUUGACCUCGGAUCAGGUAGGGAUACCCGCUGAACUUAAGCAUAUCAAUAAGCGGAGA
rnacentral:misc_RNA from 1 species